UGUUUUGUCCACAUUUUGUAAAAUCAACCAUUAAUUUAAAAACAAAACCCUUAAAAGUCAUGCUUAUCCAUUUUGCAAAUGACCCUAAACUUGGAAAAUGGCAAAUAAAAAAGAUGGUGUGAUCAAGAUUUAAAUGAUUUUGACAGAUCAGAAAGCUGAGCUGCAACCGACAAGACGAAAUGGAAACUAUUACUGUACUUAAGUACAAAAUACGUGAACCUGAAGAUUCAGGAUGAAAGGUGCAUGGCAUUGUCCCAGUUCGUGUGAAAAAGGUUUGUUGCAGAAACCAGAUCCCAGCUAAGGCUGCCCAUUUGCAGAACUUCUGUGUGGGGCCAAGGAGAUAAUGCCUGAAGACACUGGAUACAGGCACACCUGGCUUUAUUGCACUUCACUUUCACAGAUGUUGAUUUUUUUGCAAAAAAAUUGAAGGCAAGACCCUCCACCAGCAAAAAAAGAUGUCAAUUCACUUCACUGAGAUACUCACUUUAUUGCAGUGGCCUGGGACCGAGCCCGCAAUAUCUCAGAUCUUACCGAGGGCUUAUCUGCCAGGCGAGGUGUCCAUGGUGAAUGCCAUCGUUGCUGGCAGUGCCACAAUUCUCUCAAGUUUAUGAUACCUAUGAGGCUCUCCCAGGCAAGCCUCCAGGAUUCCUGACUCUGAAAGGUGUAGAUCCCAUGAAGACAGUCCACCUGCUCCUUCUCCAUCAGCCCCCACCGAUGAGUGAGCCAGGAGAUCCAACUGGCUUUUCUGGUUACAGAUUCGCCACCGCAAGGAAGGGAAGGAACUGGAGUGCAGUCUGUCAUCCAGUCAUAAACUUGAUGCUAAUAUGACUUCAGCUUAUGCAAAGGAGGCUGUGCUACCCAAGCUCAAAGCCUGUCUCCCAACACCCAAAACAAGUACAUGCUGUGACCAAAGGAACAGGUACUUACCUUUGAGCAAAUUGGAGCUGACCAUGGAAAUUAAAAAACUAAUAAAUGAGGGGGUGACUUGGGGCAUUAUAAAUAGGCAAUAGAAUUUCUCAAGCAACCCUACACUGAGUUUUACCUUUUGACUUUUUGCCAGCAACUCUUCAAGAAUGCAUAC